rnacentral:rRNA from 1 species
AGAGUUUGAUCAUGGCUCAGAACGAACGCUGGCGGCAUGCCUAACACAUGCAAGUCGAACGAAGCCUUCGGGCUUAGUGGCGCACGGGUGCGUAACGCGUGGGAAUCUGCCCUUGGGUUCGGAAUAACAGUUAGAAAUGACUGCUAAUACCGAAUGAUGUCUUCGGACCAAAGAUUUAUCGCCCAAGGAUGAGCCCGCGUCGGAUUAGCUAGUUGGUGAGGUAAAGGCUCGCCAAGGCGACGAUCCGUAGCUGGUCUGAGAGGAUGAUCAGCCACACUGGGACUGAGACACGGCCCAGACUCCUACGGGAGGCAGCAGUGGGGAAUAUUGGACAAUGGGCGAAAGCCUGAUCCAGCAAUGCCGCGUGAGUGAUGAAGGCCUUAGGGUUGUAAAGCUCUUUUACCCGGGAUGAUAAUGACAGUACCGGGAGAAUAAGCCCCGGCUAACUCCGUG